CCAACGGCCCUCUUUAGGGCCACCAAAACCAUAAACCAUAUGUCU
rfam:Anisakis simplex genome assembly, scaffold: ASIM_scaffold0000237